UACAGAGGUCCCAAGCGUUGUUCGGAUUCACUGGGCGUAAAGGGUGCGUAGGUGGUGGGGUAAGUUUGAUGUGAAAGCUCCGGGCUUAACCCGGAAAUGGCAUUGAAUACUAUCUCGCUUGAGGGUUGGAGGGGAGACUGGAAUUCUUGGUGUAGCAGUGAAAUGCGUAGAUAUCAAGUGGAACACCAGUGGCGAAGGCGAGUCUCUGGACAUUUCCUGACGCUGAGGCACGAAAGCCAGGGGAGCAAACGGG
rnacentral:rRNA from 1 species